rnacentral:rRNA from 1 species
UGGCUGUCGUCAGCUCGUGUCGUGAGAUGUUGGGUUAAGUCUCGUAACGAGCGCAACCCUUGUCCUUAGUUACCAGCACGUAAUGAUGGGCACUCUAAGGAGACUGCCGGUGACAAACCGGAGGAAGGUGGGGAUGACGUCAAGUCAUCAUGGCCCUUACGGCCUGGGCUACACACGUGCUACAAUGGUCGGUAUAGUGGGUUGCCAAGCCGCGAGGUGGAGCUAAUCCCACAAAACCGAUCGUAGUCCGGAUCGCAGUCUGCAACUCGACUGCGUGAAGUCGGAAUCGCUAGUAAUCGCGAAUCAGAAUGUGGCGGUGAAUACGUUCCCGGGUCUUGUACACACGCAUC